AAGAGACAUCUAACCGACGUUCUAUGGAACGUUUUCUGUGCGAAAACAACUUCAGUUUGCUGCUGACAACAAACUUGAUUGAUUUUUGACACCUGAGAAAGAAUAUCGACUGGAAAAUGCCUGGGUGCUUUUCAAAAUUGGCGGAGAGAGUGCGUGGACGUCGGCGGCCUACUGCGUCGACAGGUUGUUCAAAUUCAUUGGUGGCUUGUUUUUCUUGUCUUUUUCUGUUUUGCAGGGUUCAUGAUUGUCGACAGGUGGACAGCGACAGCGACUUCGAAGAGGAAACAACUGUCCUGGAUGAGGUCCAGUUGGAUGUGCCAUUGGAUGAUGUGCCAGAUGUUCCACAGCUGCCAGUCCUCCUUGGUGUCCAGAAUGCUGCUAUCAUCCUUGAGGAUGUGCCAGAUGUGCAGACUAUCCUUGAGGAGGCCACUGGCAAUUGGCAGUUGAUUCCGAUUAGGUUCAGCCCCCUGUACUGUGGGCCUGUUGUGAUCAGGGUAAGAGACCCCCCCCCCACACACACACAGUCACAUCACGGUUACAAUGUUUACUGUUUCCAACAUGAAUGUAUUGUAAUGUGCAGAACAAUGCCGGUCCGGUGGUUAAAGCCAAUUACACACCUGGCUUAAGGGAUACUGCUGCACGAUGAGAAUUCCUUUUGUGGAUAACUUUGUAGCUUUUACAGACCGACCAGGUCUAUUUCUUCGGGACAAUUUACAUCUUAACAGGUAUGGCUCCAGCAUCCUCUCCAUCAACAUGUCUCUUACUCUUGCCUCAUGUAGAGCCUUUGAUACCUGACGUUGUGUAUUCUCGGGGGUUGACUUUUGGGAUUGUACGCUCCCCUAUCAGACUAUGUUCAAUGCUCCUCUCCCAGUUUCAUUAAUUAGUUCCUCAAUUGCAAAUAUGGAACCAACUACAGUUAACAACCCUUCUGCAAUUCCUAGUUUAUUGUCCAAUCACCGUAUUGCGAAUACUACUCACAUGCAGAGAGGUAUUGUUAGUAGUAAUCUUGUCCCCAUAAAAUUGAGCUCUGUCAAUAGCUCGAAAAUGGUUUAUUGCUCAUCUAGUGCAGCUUCAGGUGCUACCUUGGAUACUCCAUCUGAUAUGAAUUCCCGUAGCAAUGGUAUUGGAAUAAUUCAUUUGAAUGCUAGAAGCCUGAUCCAAAAGUUGGACUUUAUUGAAAUUUUGGUCUCACAAUCAAAUGUUGACGUUCUGAUUGUAUCUGAAUCGUGGCUGUGUGAUUCUGUGCCAGAUUCAGAUGUUCAGUUGAUUGGAUACAAUAUUUAUAGAACUGAUAGAGUUGGUAGAGGUGGUGGUAUUGCGAUUUAUGUUAAAUGCUGCUUAAAUGUUUCUGUGUCCAUAUCAACCUCUGUCUCAAAGCAAUAUGAAUGUCUAGUUUUAAAUGUGGUACUUGGUAAUAAUGCUCAUUUAACUCUAGCAGGGGUAUAUCGCCCCCCCUCAGCUCCUCCUUGUACUCUAUGCAAUUUAUCUGAUAUACUGUCUAAUUAUGCAAACUCUGAAUAACUGAUUUUGGGAGAUUUUAACCUGGAUUGGCUCUCACCAGUAUCCGAUAAAUUAAAAGGCAUUUGUACUGAGCUAAAUCUAACUCAGCUGAUAACUAAACCAACCCGUCCCAACUUUAAGAACCCAGUACAAUCCACUCUACUAGACAUUAUUCUAACAAAUACCCCCCAUAAAUACACAGCCAGUGGGGUUUUUGCAAAUGAUAUCAGUGACCACUGCCCUAUUGCUUGUAUUAGAGAUACCAGGCUGAAACACUCUGAUCCCUGUAUAAUCUCUAAGAGAAAUUAUAAACAUUUCUCACAGCAAGCUUUUAUCCUUGACUUAUAUCACUCUGAGCUUUUAUCCACUUGCUGCUUUCUGGACCCGGUUUUAGCCCUUGCUUUUUUCUCUUCUAUUGUUACCUCUAUGUCUGAUAAACAUGCCCCGCUUAAGAAUCACAGAGUAAGAAACCGAACCAGUUCUUGGUUCUCUCCUGAAUUGUCAGGUCUUUUCCUGCAAAAGAAUCGGGCCUGGGCCUUGGCGAGGAAAACAGGUACUCCAGCUGAUUGGAUGUUUUUUAGGCAAUUGAGAAAUUAAUGUACUGCAGCUGUCAAAAAGGCAAAAUCAAAUUACUUCCUUAAUGCUAUGACAGAUUCUGCAGGAGAUCCUGCAAAAUUCUGGAAAACCGUUAAUUCACUGAAACGGGGGAAUUCUGCUGUUUCUCUUCCUAAGCAAAUUACCUCAGACUUCUGUAUUCUAACUGAAAAAAAUGAUAUUUGUGAUGCUUUUAAUAAGCAUUUCAUCUCUGCUGGUUUUUUAUUUGAAAGGAAAAGUGGACUUUGUGGUACUGGCCAGUUAGUUGAUUUUUCGUCUUGCUUUUCAACCGUUACUCUGAAAAAUGGUAACCCUGUUUUUAGUUUCCAGAAAAUAACUGAAGCAGAGGUUCUAAUUGCCCUGUGUGCCAUUGAUACUAAGAAAUCCUUAGGCGCUGACAAUUUAGACCCGUACUUACUUAAGUGUGCUGCACCUAUUUUUGCUGGUCCAGUAACACACAUUUUUAAUCUAACAUUAAGCACAGGAAAUAUCCCUAAGGUGUGGAAAGCAGCUUUUGUUCUGCCAUUACAUAAGGGAGGUGACGGUAGUGAUUUGGAUAACUAUCGACCCAUCUCUAGGCUCCCUUGUCUGGUAAAGAUUCUAGAAUCUAUAGUCAACAAACAGUUACAAUCUUUUCUUUCUGCUAACAGUAUUCUUAGUACCAAUCAAUCUGGUUUUAGAUCUAAACACAGUACCACAUCGGCCACUAUGCUUGUUGUAAAUGAUAUAGCAAAUGCCUUAGACGAUAGAAAGCACUGUGCUGCGUUGUUUGUAGAUUUGUCAAAAGCUUUUGACACUGUAGACCAUGCUAUCCUUUUGAGUAAGCUGUCAUCUAUAGGACUGGGCACUGAUGCCUGCCGAUGGUUUUAUGACUAUCUUAAAGAUAGAACUCAAGCCGUCAUGGUCGAUGGGGUCAAGUCUGACCCCUUAGAGUUACUUAAAGGGGUCCCUCAGGGUUCAAUAAUUGGCCCACUAUUGUUCUCACUUUAUAUAAACAACAUUGGUGAUGAUGUCAGAUACUGUAAAUUCCAUUUAUAUGCAGAUGACACAGUUAUGUACUCUAUUGCUCCAACAGCGGACCAAGCUUUAAUGCAGUUGGAGUCUGAUUUUAGGAUACUACAGGGGUCUCUUUUACAGCUUAAACUUGUUUUAAACGCUAAGAAAACAAAUGUCAUGUUUUUUUCUAGGUCUAAACUCCCAGUUAGAAACACGUUUGUAAUCACUAGCUUGGAUGGUACUCAUAUCAAUAAGGUCUCUGCAUAUAAAUACUUAGGGGUAUGGUUAGAUGAUAGGCUUUCUUUUAAAAAACAUGUUACUGAAUUGGGAAAAAAGCUCAAAUUCAAGAUAGGAUUCCUUUACAGAAACAGGGCUUGUCUAUCCUCUGUAAAUAGGAAAAAAAUUGUGCAGGCUACUUUUAUGUCCGUUUUACAUUAUGGUGAUAUUAUCUAUAUGCAUGCAUCGGCAAACACAUUAAAUCCACUGGAUGCUAUUUACCAUUGUGCACUCAGGUUUAUCACGGGUGAUAGUUACAGAACUCAUCACUGUAUCCUAUAUCAACAUGUGGGUUGGGUCUCUCUAUCUGUGAGGCGAGAGCAACAUGCUCUCUUGUUUAUUUAUAAAGCACUUCUUUUAAAACUACCUCCAUAUAUAUCAUCAUUAAUUUCCACAAGAUGUACUAAUUUUAAAACCAGAUCACAGAUGUGGAUUACAUUAGAGACUCCUGCGGUCUCCACAGAGUUGGGUAGGACUGCCUUCAGUUCCUUUGCACCUUAUUUAUGGAACAAACUGCAGAUCCAACUUAAGUUAGACACUCUGGUGUCCCUUGCCCAUUUUAAAAUGUUUAUGGAGGAUCAAUAUGAUGUUGUCUGUGAUUGUUUCUGUUGAAUUGUGUAUGUUUUGAAAUGUUCUUGUCUGUAUGUCUAAAACUGUACAUGUCAACAUGUUUACACAGGGCACAGCCGUAAAAGAGAUCUAGGUCUCAGUCUGUUUUCCCUGUUAAAAUAAAGAUUUAAUAAAAAAAUAAAAAAAAGCGUGGAGAACUUUCCAGUUCAUCAGCCCCAUCAUCACCUACAUGCGUGGGGGAUCCCAGCAGGUGGUGGUGAGGAUGCACCACGUGAGUAGGGUGAGAGGCCUGGAGACUCAACUGGUGUGGGCCAUCUCCAAGGAGACAGCCAGGCUUAGUCCAGAGGGGAUCCCCUACUGUGCCAUCAAAGUGCAGUCCAUCACUUGGAUCCAGCGUGUGGCUGGCAGGGUGACCCACUAUGCGUCUCACCUUCGCCACGAGACAUCUGUGGACGUGACGCUUGGCUGCUACCAGCAGACUGAUGUCUCAGUGGUGUACGCCACUCUCCACAUGGGGCUGGACGGGCUUCUCUCCUCUUCAGCGUGGUCGGAGGCUGCCUCCUUCUCUACGCCCACCACUCAGCAGUUCACUGUUCACUGCUUGUCAGAUGCUGGAGGAUAGUGGUCAUAAUGCUGUUAUCCCCCAUUGACUCUAAUGGUUGACAUGCUCCAUUCCCUCCCUUUCACAGCCUCUACCUUAUCACCAAGAGAGUGGAGGACAUCGCCCUGAGGCUCGUCUCCCUGCGCCAGGCCUUCACUACCCUGCUUGGUUCCACCCUGAGCAGGAACCGUCUGUUUGUGGCGGGAAAGGUCCUCCUGGGCGCACUGGUUCGGGCCAACCAUAUGGACGAGGCCAAGUUCAUCCGUACCUAUAAGGACUUUGUGGACUACCUGAGUGACCCCUCCAAGCGGAAUGACAUUGAGAGGGAGCUGGCUGAGGCAAAGGGGAGUUCAUUAACUCUUUCAAGUCUCACUGAGUUCUUCCACAUGCAUGUCUUUUAUACAUCACAGUAGCUGAUCUAUAUGAAAUCAUUCCUAUUUUCUCCAAAUGUGUUUUCUUGUCCUAGAUCCAUCAUGUGAACAUGAUAGAUGUCCUCUUUGAGCUGGUGCUGUUUGGGUUAAUGACAGCUCAGAAGUCCCUGAUGGUGCACCCUGGUGGGUUCGUGGAGCGUCUGUACGCUCUCCUGUACUCCUUCCUGCCCACUGCUGCCAACAUGGAGCCAGAGGCUGACAGAUACCUGCUGCUGCUCAAUGAUUCUUGUGACACUUUGCCACCCAACAGGGAUCUAGACACCAAUGCACUACAUUACUUUGCACUGAAUUUGACAUUUUUAAAUAAAACAAGUUGUAGUUCAAAAACA